UGUACAUUUAGGUACUGGUAUUAUUUAAGCUGUGACCAUUAUUUUUUUUAGAAUUAUUCAUGUGACAGUCAAUGUUACUGUUAUAUUGCUGUAUGAAAAAAACGGCUGUUCACACAUUGUUGUUAGAA